GACGUAGGGGGCCAGCGUUGUUCGGAAUUACUGGGUGUAAAGGGUUCGUAGGCGGUGUGGCAAGUUGGGUGUGAAAUCUCUGGGCUCAACCCAGAGACUGCUUCCAAAACUGCUGUGCUUGAGUGUGAGAGAGGCUCGUGGAAUUGCAGGUGUAGCGGUGAAAUGCGUAGAUAUCUGCAGGAACACCCGUGGCGAAAGCGGCGAGCUGGAUCACUACUGACGCUGAGGAACGAAAGCUAGGGGAGCAAACAGG
rnacentral:rRNA from 1 species